UACGUAGGGUGCGAGCGUUGUCCGGAAUCACUGGGCGUAAAGGGCGCGUAGGCGGCUUGGGACGUCUGUGGUGAAAGCUCGUGGCUCAACUGCGAGUCGGCCAUAGAUACUCCUAAGCUCGAGUCGACUAGAGGCAGAUGGAAUUCCGGGUGUAGCGGUGGAAUGCGUAGAGAUCCGGAAGAACACCGGAGGCGAAGGCGGCUUGCUGGGCUUGGUCUGACGCUGAGGCGCGAAAGCGUGGGGAGCGAACAGG
rnacentral:rRNA from 1 species